AGUCACGGGACAAGUUUCUGUAAGGGAGCUAACGAGUCCUCGUAUUUGUGACUUUUUUUUCAUUGCUGUGACCAAAUACCUCACAGGGAUGAACUCAGAAGCAGGGGGAUUUCUUUGGACUCUGGGCUUGCACAGAAGUUCCCUACCUAAGGGAGGCUCAGAAUGAGACUCUCCAUGUAAAAAAAUCAGGCACUCAAGAGACGGACAGAAGAGGACAUCAUUAGGUCAAGGUCAACCUGGACAGCAUAGCAAAACCCUGUCUGCAAAGAGAUGGGGGAGAUGGAGAAAUGGGGACCAGGUGCAGCCUCAGAGUCAAUGAGAAGAUAGACUCUGCACUUGGGGUACAUUCAUCCAUGUCCUCUUGAAACAGCUUCUCAAUCCUCCUGCCAUGUCUCUCUGCUCAGGAUGUUCCCGCCACUGAGCCUGAGCCUGGCAUCCAGGAAGCCCUAGCCAAGAGCCUAGCAGUGACCAUUUGUCUACCCAGUGGCGGAUCAGCCUGGAGGUGAAAUGAGGAGAGUCUUGGCUGUAGGCACGGUCCCAGCAUCAGUGGGGUCUUGGGAGACUUUGACCAUCAGUAGAGGAGGUUUGGGGGGACAAUAUUAUUAAACUAAAAUGACCUUUGCCAAGAGC
rnacentral:lncRNA from 1 species